rnacentral:snRNA from 1 species
GAACUCUUGAAGCUCAAUGCAGGGCCUUCACUAAGACCCGGAUGUGGAAUUUUUGGGAACCCCUACGGGUUUAGGGGUUA